rnacentral:rRNA from 1 species
UACGUAGGGGGCUAGCGUUGUCCGGAAUCAUUGGGCGUAAAGCGCGCGUAGGCGGCCCAGUAAGUCCGUUGUAAAAGUCAAAGGCUCAACCUUUGAAAGCCGAUGGAUACUGCUGGGCUAGAGUCCGGAAGAGGCGAGUGGAAUUCCUGGUGUAGCGGUGGAAUGCGCAGAUAUCAGGAGGAACACCAACGGCGAAGGCAGCUCGCUGGGACGGUACUGACGCUGAGGCGCGAAAGCGUGGGGAGCGAACAGG